rnacentral:rRNA from 1 species
CCAGACUCCUACGGGAGGCAGCAGUGGGGAAUAUUGGGCAAUGGGCGCAAGCCUGACCCAGCAACGCCGCGUGAAGGAAGAAGGCUUUCGGGUUGUAAACUUCUUUUAAGGGGGAAGAGGAGAAGACGGUACCCCUUGAAUAAGCCACGGCUAACUACGUGCCAGCAGCCGCGGUAAUACGUAGGUGGCAAGCGUUGUCCGGAUUUACUGGGUGUAAAGGGCGUGCAGCCGGGAGGACAAGUCAGAUGUGAAAUCCCGCGGCUCAACCGCGGAACUGCAUUUGAAACUGUUUUUCUUGAGUACUGGAGAGGCAGACGGAAUUCCUUGUGUAGCGGUGAAAUGCGUAGAUAUAAGGAGGAACACCAGUGGCGAAGGCGGUCUGCUGGACAGCAACUGACGGUGAGGCGCGAAAGCGUGGGGAGCAAACAGGAUUAGAUACCCCCGUACAG